UUUUUUAUUUUUUUAAUUUCCUCAAUACCUUUUUUUUUCUGCUGUGCAGCCUGGUGACCCAGUUACACAUACAUGUAUACAUUCUAUUUUCUCCCAUUAUCAUGCUCCAUUAUAAGUGACUAGACAUAGUUCCCAGUGCCACACAGCAGGAUCUCAUUGCUAAUCCAUUCCAGAGGCAAUAGUCUGCAUCUAUUAUCCCAAGCUCCUGGAUUAGGAAGAUGUAGUAUAUAUACACAAUGGAAUACUACUCAGCCAUAAAAAAGAACAAAAUAAUGCCAUUUGCAGCAACAUGGAUGGAACUAGAGACUCUCAUACUGAGUAAAACACUUUUAAGAACACUGAUUUCUGGGCAGUGUUCCACAAGGCUCUGUCAAAGUCUUGGUGUUUGUACCCCUAGGUGUAUGUGCCUUGUAGGUAUGCAUAUGUACCAUGUGUGUGUGGCACAUGUGUGUUUGUAUACUAUGUGGGUGUUGUAUGUCCAUAGGUACCAUGCAUACAUUGUACACGUGUGUCUGUACCAUGUACAUGUGUAUUAUACCUGCACAUGUAAAUUUAGCCAAGGAAGGGAAGGAACUGGCAGUGGUAAAUGUAAGACUUUGAAACUCAGGAAGGCAAAAUAAAUGGGAAGAUAAAGUGUGUUCAUGGAUCAGGAGAAUUAAUAUUGUGCAUAUGUGUGCACAUUUGUAUGUAUGCACAGAUACCAUAACCACUCUGCACAUAUGUGGCCUGUAUAUUAUAUAUGUGUUUAUGCAUGUACAUUGUAUGUAUAACAUAUACUACAUGCACACAUGUGUAUGUGUACAUUGUGUGCAUUUACACUGUAUAUAUGCUAUAAAAAUACACUAUAUGUGUAUAUGUGUGCAUUACAUAUAUUUCAUACAUGCACUAUAUGUAUAUAUACAUACAUUCUAUGCAUGUAUGAUGUGCAUAUACUCUGUAUGUACAUAGUGUAUACAUUAUGGUUAAUGUUAGUGCAUAUGUUCAUUGUGUGUAUGCAUGUAUACAUGCCAUAGAUGCUGUGUAUCCAUGCUGCAUUAUAUAUGUAUGAACACUGUGUGUAAACUACGUGUGUAUCCACUGUAAGGAUAUAUAUGGCUGUUUCUCUGUAUGUGUGGACACACUAUGCAUGUGCUGUAUAUGUGCAUACACUCUGUAUAUGUCUGCAUAAUAUGUAUAUAUGAACACUAAACUAUAUGUGUAUCCACCGUAAGGAUAUAUAUGGCUAUAUUAUGUGUGCACAUGUAACUAUCUUUGUAUGUGUGGACACUCUGUGCAUGUGCUGUAUAUGUGCGUACACUCUCUAUAUGUCUGCACAGUAUGUAGUGUCAGGAAUACAGCUCCAGCAGGGCUCCAGCGCAUGACCAUUUGGCUGGCUUGGGGAGAGUAAUGUGUGAAACACUCGUUCCGGAUCGCAUAGUAUACGAAAUUUGGCAAGUUAAUGGGCCUUUGCAAUGAUGUAGGGACCAAACACUUCACUGAUGGAUGUGUGUGUGUUCACUUAAUCAUCAUAACAGCCCUGUGAAGUAGGUUUUAUCUCCAGAUGAGGACUGAGAUUUACUGGUGACUUGUGUAAGGAAAGGAAACUUAAAAGUAAUGGUAGCAUCAUGUCAACUAUCUUUUCUUCAUUUACUUUCUUAUCACAACCUUUGUUAGCAUUUAACUAACAACCUGGAAGUUGCCACUCAUCAGGAAAUAGGAUCAUCUUCCAACUGUUUAUAUUUAUUCAAAGAGUAGUGACUGCUGUUUUCCUGUCACUGUGUAGCAAAAUGCCAUUAAUGUUGCCAGUGUGAGCAGUUCAAAAUAAACACAGUAUCACUCUUAAAAUUGAAAAUGAACAUAAGUUCAUUUUUUAGGUAUUGUUUGGAAGGAUAAGAAAAAAGACAUUUAAGAUGAAAGGAGGGUUUCUUUGCCAUUUCUUUGGGAAUUUCCUUUUGGUGGAUUAUUGCUAGAAUAUUCUUUUUUUUUUUUUCUUCCCCUCAGGGUUCUGCUUUUGGUGAAACGAAAGUAGUUAAAGUCUUUGGGUUUUGUCUCAGCCAAGUUCAGCUUACUAAUUACUACAGUAAAUCACAUAAAAUUACAUACUAGUUAAUAUAAGUACCUGGAAGGCAGGAGUUGGUUUUAUACUUUUUGUAGCUACAGCACUAAUGGCUGCAAACUGUUCCUCUGGCCAUUCCUAGACAAACCUUCACAGGGUUAUGUGCCAAGCAUGGUAUUAGUUCCAGAGGAUACAAAAAUGAAUUCAAGCUUUAAUUUGUGAAGCUCUCACCACACUUGGAGAGCACGUUGACAACUGGUGUGACAAAGUGUAAAAAACAGGUGUUCAGACUGUUUUGGGCAUGUAGAAAAUGGAAUUGACUUGAUGUGAUAAAAUUUUCGAAUUUACUUUUGUGUUUAUUCUACUGAUAAUCCUGAUGCUUUCUUUUUAACCUUAAAGAUUGUUGUUAAUCACUGAUGAAUUGGUAAGCAACUCUGUGUGUGUUCUAAAUCUAGUGAUGCGUUCAUUAACUGGAGACCAUUCACCUCGAUGGGGACAGUAAUAUGUCAAAAGACGGCCCAGUUCCACGCCAUCGAAGGGUCGUUAAAUACCACCGGGUGCAUCCUUGCUGGGAUUUGCUCAGGUGGGAAAUGGCAGCAUUUCGUCUUUUGCUGAUAGGUGCACUCAGGGUGCGGGAGUGAGCAGUUCAAAUUUAGAUGUU
rnacentral:lncRNA from 1 species